rnacentral:lncRNA from 1 species
ACUUAUAAGACUUCUCUAACUUGGUAACGUGAGAACUUUAGUAUCUUCAACAAAUUCAACAUGAUUUCAUGGCAAUUCAACAAGAUCUCAUGAGCAUCUUCAAGAAUUCAAACGUGAAUUCUUAGUAUCCUGGUAACAUGAGACUUCUCUAAACUCACCAAAAUAAUUUGCUCAUCUCUACUAAUUUAAGAGAUGAAGCUUCAGCAAACUUAUUCAUGAAAGACUAGAUAUUAGCAACAUAAUUUUACUACAAAAAUCAUACGAGACUACAUAAUAUUAUAGCAACGGAAUUUUGUGGUUCUAAGGGAGUACGGUGCAAUCUUUCUCAAGAAUAUCAUAUGGAUUUUUCCCUACUCCGAUCUUGCCGAUUAUAUGUUAUCGCAAUUAACAUGUAUUAGAGGGAUUGUCAAGAGAACUGGCUCAGGUAUGUUAAGGCUAUCCCUUCCUUCUUUUUGGCAUAAUUCAUACGACACAAAUAAAACGAUCAAAUGCACAAUUUCCAGCAAAUGCACAACUGCAGUAAACACAAAAGCCAUAGCGGUUGGAUGCCUCACAGUCCUCUCUGAGACGCCAACUGCCAACGCCUUUGUAUUUCUUCUGACCUUUGUGUUAGUGAUCAGCAUUUUAAUUGGCAUGUUUGUUUUGAGGCAUAUCAAAUCGCCAGUUCUGAACUUGAUCAUAUUUCCUGUCACAUAAACUUUUUCAGGUGGUGCAAUUCCCAGAUCCUGAAAUAUUCUUUGAAGAAGCAUCUCAAGGGAUUUAAGUAUUCUAUAUUUUCUGAAUUAAAAAUAAAAGCUAUCAAGGCAACUAAGUAGAGCAUAGUUAUGUAAUGAUAACUUGAUGAUCUAUGAUAAAUAGAAGGAAACUGCCCAUAUUCCCCUCCUAAGAAAAAAGUAAAAAAGACCACGGAAAAGGAAAUUAGCAGAAAGAAAAGGUAAAUGAAAGACAUAUAAUUUAGGAGCGAGCCUUCUCUACAGAUCUUCUGUUGCCAAGAAGGCUUCAGGGUUUCCAAUUAGCUUAUGUGCUUUUAAUUAGAUAAUAAUCUUUUGUACAGCUCAUCAUAUUAAUGAAUAGAAAACUUAGGUUCUAGGAUAAUCUAACCUAAUUAUUAAUUUAGUUGAUGAUCAAAAGACCUAAUAAUUCCUAUGCAACAGACUUUUCUUAUUAGUUUUUCCCCAAAAGAAUGACGAAAUUUUGUAUUUGAAAACGAUUUAAUAUUAACAUCCCCAUUUUACCGUUACUAACAUGACUUACUGAGAAUCCACUUAAUAUUUAAACUGAUUUUAUUAGGAAAGAAAAGUAGGAAGUGACAUGUGGAACUCUUACCAACUUUUAUUUAAUUGUUAAUAGUAAGGGUAAUUUAUACCUUGCAUAUAUUUAGCUUAUGUAGAAAUUCCUUUAUUUCUUAAACUUGCACAUAAGAUGCGACGGAGGAAGUAUAUCUUAUUUCAUGCUGAUUAGAAAAGAGAAAUUUCUAUUUAAACAAAUUAAAUUGGUAAACCAUUACAGAAAAAGAAAGGACAGAUAAGUUAUUAUUAUCCUCCGCGCAAAUUAAAAGCUACUUCCUCCACCCCUAUUUAAGUGACAGUGUUUGACUGGGCACAGAGUUUAAGAAAGAAAGACUUUUAAAUUUCUGGUCUUAAACAAGUUUUAGCCUUUUGUGUGGCUAUAAAUGAUCUCAUUAAGGGUAAAAUGAAAAGUUUAAUACAUAAAGUUGAACUGAGGGAGUACCUAUUUUGGGUGAGCCAGAACAUAAAAUGUAAAAUAAUCAAUGAAACAACAUUAUAUGAGAGAUCAGUGAUAUUCUUAAAUUUACAAUUACUAUUCCCGGAUGCUAAUAUGUUUUAUAUGAUGACAAGAGCAUCUUUGACACGCUUGCCCCUUCCCCUAGAAAGAAGAUAUUCUUGUUCCAAAGCCUCAUCAAUCAUCAUGUUUAAAUACGAUGAAGCAAAGUGAAAAGUCCAAUGAUUUGUAUGGCAGUGUUUCAUAGUAAUGGUAAGUGGAAGCUAAAGGAUAUAGGGCUACCACCCUCUAAAUAAAGAUCUAGAUACAGAGUCGAAAAAAAGGUAGGGUAUUUCAUUUUGGAAAUAAACAACUCGUAAAGCUUGAUCUGUGACGUCGCAUAGCUCUUUAGGAAGGCAGUAAGAACAAGAUUCCGUAGAGAAGCGCCAUAAAAAAUAGAAGCCAGCCAAUUCCAGUAGAGUCAAAGUCAAAUAAGAAGGGCCUUGAGCCCGGUACUCCUUCUUCAAGCUAUCAUGCUCAUCCAAGCCUAUUGCUUCUGUAACAGC